rnacentral:rRNA from 1 species
GACGAACGCUGGCGGCGUGCUUAACACAUGCAAGUCGAACGGUAAGGCCCUUCGGGGUACACGAGUGGCGAACGGGUGAGUAACACGUGGGUGAUCCGCCCUGCACUUCGGGAUAAGCCUGGGAAACUGGGUCUAAUACCGGAUAGGACCCUGGGAUGCAUGUCCUGGGGUGGAAAGCUUUUGCGGUGUGGGAUGGGCCCGCGGCCUAUCAGCUUGUUGGGGGGGUGAUGGCCUACCAAGGCGACGACGGGUAGCCGGCCUGAGAGGGUGACCGGCCACACUGGCACUGAGAUACGGCCCAGACUCCUACGGGAGGCAGCAGUGGGGAAUAUUGCACAAUGGGCGCAAGCCUGAUGCAGCGACGCCGCGUGAGGGAUGACGGCCUUCGGGUUGUAAACCUCUUUCAGCACCGACGAAGCGCAAGUGACGGUAGGUGCAGAAGAAGGACCGGCCAACUACGUGCCAGCCGCCGCCGUAA